rnacentral:rRNA from 1 species
CCCUGCCCUUUGUACACACCGCCCGUCGCUACUACCGAUUGAAUGUCUUAGUGAGGACCACGGAUCGCUGUCUUGGGUGGCAACACCCCUGACGGUGAGAAGUGGUCCAAACUUGAACAUUUAGAGGAAGUAAAAGUCGUAACAAGGUUU